rnacentral:rRNA from 1 species
AUGUCGAUGCAUGGGCACAAAUGUAAAUUAAUUCCUAACAUACAUUUGUUGCAACAAGAUGAGCCAGAUCAAAUUGUCAUUGAUACUGAGGAAAUUGACCAACAGGAGCAACCUGAAAAUGCAGAAGAGGGAAAACAAGCAAUGUUCAUUUCUGCACAUGCAAUUGGACAUCAGUUAGCAGUACCAACUCCCACAGUAAUCAUCUACAUCAAUGGAAAACGAGCAUUGGCCUUACUAGACUCUGGAAGUACUUCUUUCAUUAACCAAGACUUUGCUAUUAAAGCAAACUGUCAGUUAUUACCUGUCAAACAAAGAACAAUAGCAGUGGCUGGAGGUGGACGAUUACUAUCUUCAGCAGUAGUGCCCAAUUGUGAAUUUCAGCUAGCUAAACUGAAACUUCACCAUAAUUUCAGAGUGUUAACACUGCCUAGCCAUGAUGUUAUUUUGGGAUAUGAUUGGAUGACCAUAGCCAGUCUUGUGUCAUUCAAUAUUCCCAAACACACAUUCAGUUUCACUCAAGAAGGAGCCCAAACUAUCACCACUGCAGUUUUCAAUAACUCUGAAACAGUUAAGGAAGUGCAAGCAGAAAAGAUGAACAAAUUGUUGGAUAAAGGAGUGGAAAGCUUCCUCUUACAAGUGCAUAAUAUCUUAAUGGAAGCACCAGAAGGUACACAAACACCUCCUCAAAUCCAAAAGUUACUGCUAGAGUAUGUUGAUCUGUUUGAGGAACCCAAGUCACUACCACCUGAGAGAGCUCUUGACCACACUAUUCCUCUAGUUCCUGGUGCAACUCCCCCUUAUGUUAGACUAUAUAGAGUUCCUCAACAUCAAAAACAGGAAAUGGAAGAUCAGAUCAAAAAACUACUAGCUGCUCACCUCAUCAGACACAGCCAAAGCCCUUAUGCAGCUCCUGUUAUAUUGGUGAAGAAGAAAGAUACUUCAAUGAGACUAUGCACUGAUUUUAGGAAACUCAACUCUUUAACAAUUAAGAACAAGUUUCCUAUACUAGUGAUUGAAGAUCUCCUGGAUGAAUUACAUGGGGCACAGUAUUUCUCCAAGAUUGAUCUAAGAUCAGGAUAUCAUCAGAUCAGAAUGCAUCCUGAUGAUAUACAAAAGACUACCUUCGGAACAUUUUUGGGCCAUUUUGAGUAUCUAGUUAUGCCUUUUGGCUUAUCUAAUGCUCCAGGAACAUUUCAAGCAUUGAUGAACAACAUAUUUGGCCCAUACUUGAGGAAGUUUGUGUUGGUAUUCUUUGAUGAUACAUUAAUAUAUAGCAAAAACCUCAAGGAGCACAAGGAACAUUUGCAAAUAGUGUUACAGUUACUGAAAGAACACCAGCUGUUUGCAAAAAUGUCCAAGUGUGUUUUUGUUAUCCAACAAGUGGAGUACUUGGGACAUAUCAUAUUUGCAGAAGGAGUAGCUACAGAUCCCAAGAAAAUAGCAGCUAUUGCUGAAUGGCCAAUACCAGAAUCUCUUACUAAACUGAGAAGUUUCUUGCGCUUAGCUGGCUACUACAGAAGAUUUAUAAAGGGAUAUGGAACAAUCUGCGGACCUUUGCAUGAUCUGUUAAAGAAAGGGCAAUUUGCAUGGAAGCAAGAACACAGCCAGGCUUUUGCUCAGCUACAGCAAGCCUUGAUCACAACCCCUAUAUUGGCACUACCCAAUUUCUCUCUACCAUUUGUGUUGGAAACAGAUGCUUCAGGCAAAGGCAUAGGAGCUGUUCUCAUGCAACAGGGCAGGCCCCUAGCAUAA